UAAAUGCGCACCCGAAUUUAGGAAGAUGAGUUAUAAAAAACUAAAUCAGCAUUCAAGCAAACAGAGCUAACUAAAAAUUGAUGGAUGAAAAAUAUGAUGUUGAGCCAUUCAUGAACAGAGAAUGAAUUUAAGAGAAAAAAAUGAAUCUUCAAGGAGUAGAAGCCUUCUUUUAUGAAAAAUCAACUGGCGUACAAGGGCGAAACAUGACGACCAAACGGAGAUACGAACCGAACCAAAAUUGGGAUUGAAUUACGGCCAGAGAACUCGUCGGCAAUCGAAAUCGAUGUCUCCGAACGGACUCAUCUCUACUGAGUUUGGAUGGUAUUUUGUUGGCUCUGUGUUUGGUGUUAAUUUUCAUGGUAUUUUGGGUGGUUGUUCAUGACUGAGAAUAGGGCGUGCAUUUGAAAAAAUAGGUCAAGAAGAAAGUGAAAGGAAGGUCUCACUUUUAGUCUUUAUCCCUCUAUCUCCCAGAUCCAUUUUUUCUGUUUUCGUUGUUCGUCCCCUUUUCCGUAUAUGAGUGUGUUGUCUGUAUAAGAAAGAUGAGAGGGGGAAAUGAAAAUGAGAUGGAAGUGUGAGCUGUAGGGAAUAAUUCUGUUGCCUUGGAAAG
rnacentral:lncRNA from 1 species